rnacentral:rRNA from 1 species
UGGGGAAUAUUGCACAAUGGGCGCAAGCCUGAUGCAGCCAUGCCGCGUGUGUGAAGAAGGCCUUCGGGUUGUAAAGCACUUUCAGCGAGGAGGAAGGUGGUGGACUUAAUACGUUCAUCAAUUGACGUUACUCGCAGAAGAAGCACCGGCUAACUCCGUGCCAGCAGCCGCGGUAAUACGGAGGGUGCAAGCGUUAAUCGGAAUUACUGGGCGUAAAGCGCACGCAGGCGGUUUGUUAAGUCAGAUGUGAAAUCCCCGGGCUCAACCUGGGAACUGCAUUUGAAACUGGCAAGCUAGAGUCUCGUAGAGGGGGGUAGAAUUCCAGGUGUAGCGGUGAAAUGCGUAGAGAUCUGGAGGAAUACCGGUGGCGAAGGCGGCCCCCUGGACGAAGACUGACGCUCAGGUGCGAAAGCGUGGGGGGCCAAACNGGAUUAGAUACCCUGGUAGUCCACGCUGUAAACGAUGUCGAUUUGGAGGUUGUGCCCUUGAGGCGUGGCUUCCGGAGCUAACGCGUUAAAUCGACCGCCUGGGGAGUAC